rnacentral:lncRNA from 1 species
GGUUUUCAAAAACUUUUUGGAGCGCGAGAACGACUUCAAGAUGACAAGGAAAAUUGCGAUGUGGUGGCUGGUGGUCGCGGUGGCGGUCAGGGUACCAAGCUCCACGCCUACACCAGCAACCUCCACCAAUACAACCACAACUGAAUCAACAACCUCCACCGAUACAACCACAACUGAAUCAGCAACCUCCACCGAUAC